GAUGAACGCUGGCGGCGUGCCUAAUACAUGCAAGUCGAGCGAACAGAUAAGGAGCUUGCUCCUUUGACGUUAGCGGCGGACGGGUGAGUAACACGUGGGUAACCUACCUAUAAGACUGGGAUAACUUCGGGAAACCGGAGCUAAUACCGGAUAACAUUUGGAACCGCAUAGUUCUAAAGUGAAAGAUGGUUUUGCUAUCACUUAUAGAUGGACCCGCGCCGUAUUAGCUAGUUGGUAAGGUAACGGCUUACCAAGGCAACGAUACGUAGCCGACCUGAGAGGGUGAUCGGCCACACUGGAACUGAGACACGGUCCAGACUCCUACGGGAGGCAGCAGUAGGGAAUCUUCCGCAAUGGGCGAAAGCCUGACGGAGCAACGCCGCGUGAGUGAUGAAGGGUUUCGGCUCGUAAAACUCUGUUAUUAGGGAAGAACAAACGUGUAAGUAACUGUGCACGUCUUGACGGUACCUAAUCAGAAAGCCACGGCUAACUACGUG
rnacentral:rRNA from 1 species